ACGGCCAUAACACAUUGAAAACAUCGGUUCUCAUCUGAUCGCCAAAGUAAAGCAAUAUCAGCCUCGGUCAGUACUUGGAAGGGUGACCUAUCUGAGAUAUUAGUGUUGUACAUA